rnacentral:rRNA from 1 species
AUUGAACGCUGGCGGCAGGCCUAACACAUGCAAGUCGAACGAGUGGCGGACGGGUGAGUAAUGUCUGGGAAACUGCCUGCUGGAGGGGGAUAACUACUGGAAACGGUAGCUAAUACCGCAUACAAUCAGAUGUGCCCAGAUGGGAUUAGCUUGUUGGUGGGGUAACGGCUCACCAAGCCGACGAUCCCUAGCUGGUCUGAGAGGAUGACCAGCCACACUGGCACUGAGACACGGUCCAGAAUCCGACGGGAGGCAGCAGUGGGGAAGAUUGCACAAGGGGCGCAAGCCGGAUGCAGCCAUGCCGCGGGUAUGAAGAAGGCCGUCGGGUUGUAAAGUACUUUCAGCGGGGAGGCGUUACCCGCAGAAGAAGCACCGGCUAACUCCGUGCCAGCAGCCGCGGUAAUAC